AUUGAACGCUGGCGGCAGGCCUAACACAUGCAAGUCGAGCGAGCGGCGGACGGGUGAGUAAUGUCUGGGAAACUGCCUGAUGGAGGGGGAUAACUACUGGAAACGGUAGCUACUACAGCAUACCAUCAGAUGUGCCCAGCUGGGAUUAGCUAGUAGUUGGGGUAACGGCUCACCUAGGCGACGAUCCCUAGCUGGUCUGAGAGGAUGACCAGCAACAGUGGAAUGGAGAAACGGUCCAGAUUCCUAGGGGAGGCAGCAGUGGGGAAUAUUGCACAAUGGGCGCAAGCCUGAUGCAGCCAUGCCGCGUGUAUGAAGAAGGCCUUCGGGUUGUAAAGUACUUUCAGCGGGUAGGCGUUACCCGCAGAAGAAGCGCCGGCUAACUCCGUGCCAGCAGCCGCGGUAAUAC
rnacentral:rRNA from 1 species